AGCAGCCGCGGUAAUUCCAGCUCCAAUAGCGUAUAUUAAAGUUGUUGCAGUUAAAAAGCUCGUAGUUGAACUUCGGGGUCUACCCAUUGGUCAGGCUUAAUUGUCUGCACUGGUGGGAUGGAUCUCUACCUUCUGAGGAACUUUCAUGCCAUUUAUUUGGUGUGAUUGGAAAUCAGGACUGUUACUUUGAAAAAUUAGAGUGUUUAAAGCAGACUAUCGUCUGAAUACAUUAGCAUGGAAUAAUGAAAUAGGACGGACUGAUUCUAUUUCGUUGGUUUCUAGGAUCACCGUAAUGAUUAAUAGGGAUAGUUGGGGGCAUUAGUAUUCAAUUGUCAGAGGUGAAAUUCUUGGAUUUUAUUGAAGACUAACUACUGCGAAAGCAUUUGCCAAGGAUGUUUUCAUUAAUCAAGAACGAAAGUUAGGGGAUCGAAGACGAUCAGAUACCGUCGUAGUCUUAACCAUAAACUAUGCCGACUAGGGAUC
rnacentral:rRNA from 1 species